CAGUAGCGUAUAUUAAAGUUGUUGCAGUUAAAAAGCUCGUAGUUGGAUUUCUGGUUUGGACCGCCUGGCCGGCCGCCGUUAGGCGCGCCAGUGCCGGGUUGUGUCUUGCCAUCCGCCUAUCUUCGUCCCGCGCCCCUUUAUUGGGUGUCGUGGUGUACGGUUAGGCCAUUUACUUUGAAAAAUUAGAGUGUUUCAAGCAGGCAUUUGCUGUGAAUACAUUAGCAUGGAAUAAUAACAUAGGACUUUUGUUCUAUUUUGUUGGUUUCCUGAACGGAAGUAAUGAUUGAUAGGGACAGUUGGGGGUGCUAGUAUUCCGUGGCCAGAGGUGAAAUUCUUGGAUUCACGGAAGACUAACUUAUGCGAAAGCAUUCACCAAGGAUGUCUUCUUUAAUCAAGAACGAAAGUUGGGGGAUCGAAGACGAUUAGAUACCAU
rnacentral:rRNA from 1 species